AUUGAACGCUGGCGGCAGGCCUAACACAUGCAAGUCGAGCGGAUGAGUGGAGCUUGCUCCAUGAUUCAGCGGCGGACGGGUGAGUAAUGCCUAGGAAUCUGCCUGGUAGUGGGGGACAACGUUUCGAAAGGAACGCUAAUACCGCAUACGUCCUACGGGAGAAAGCAGGGGACCUUCGGGCCUUGCGCUAUCAGAUGAGCCUAGGUCGGAUUAGCUAGUAGGUGAGGUAAUGGCUCACCUAGGCGACGAUCCGUAACUGGUCUGGGAGGAUGAUCAGUCACACUGGAACUGAGACACGGUCCAGACUCCUACGGGAGGCAGCAGUGGGGAAUAUUGGACAAUGGGCGAAAGCCUGAUCCAGCCAUGCCGCGUGUGUGAGGAAGGUCUUCGGAUUGUAAAGCACUUUAAGUUGGGAGGAAGGGCAGUAAGCUAAUACCUUGCUGUUUUGACGUUACCAACAGAAUAAGCACCGGCUAACUUCGUGCCAGCCGCCGCAGUAACAC
rnacentral:rRNA from 1 species